CUCACACCUUGCAGAGCCUUUGAUUAAUCACAGGAUCCAUCUUUCCAUUUUCACAUUCCUAUGCAAUUUACAUUACCCCUUCUGUGGGUGUCCCAGCUUCGAAGAGGAAAUAAGGCUAUAAACCUUGUGAACCUUCUUACAAUCAAAUUAACACCUUUUGACAUUGACAGUACCACCUCUACCAGGCAGGCAGGUCAUCUAUGCACUACACAAAUUACAUUAAAGGACAAUAU